GGCGAGAUGGCCGAGCGGUCUAAGGCGCCAGACUAAGGCGACACAGUGCGCUAUCUGGUCCGAAAGGGCGUGGGUUCGAAUCCCACUCUCGUCA